rnacentral:rRNA from 1 species
CCUACGGGAGGCAGCAGUGAGGAAUAUUGGUCAAUGGGCGCGAGCCUGAACCAGCCAAGUAGCGUGAAGGAUGAAGGCCCAACGGGUUGUAAACUUCUUUUAUAAAGGAAUAAAGUGAGGCACGUGUGCCUUUUUGUAUGUACUUUAUGAAUAAGGAUCGGCUAACUCCGUGCCAGCAGCCGCGGUAAUACGGAGGAUCCGAGCGUUAUCCGGAUUUAUUGGGUUUAAAGGGUGCGUAGAUGGGUUGUUAAGUCAGUUGUGAAAGUUUGCGGCUCAACCGUAAAAUUGCAAUUGAUACUGGCAGUCUUGAGUACAGUUGAGGUAGGCGGAAUUCGUGGUGUAGCUGUGAAAUGCUUAGCUAUCACGAAGAACUCCGAUUGCGAAGGCAGCCUACUAGACUGCCACUGACAUUGAUGCUCGAAAGUGUGGGUAUCAAACAGGAUUAGAUACCCUAGUAGUC